GAUAGAAUGGCUGAAGUUUUAGGCUAUAAAUUGUAAAUUUAUAUAUGGGUUAUACUCUUUUAUCA
rnacentral:tRNA from 1 species